AUUGAACGCUGGCGGCAUGCCUUACACAUGCAAGUCGAACGGCAGCACGGGAGCAAUCCUGGUGGCGAGUGGCGAACGGGUGAGUAAUAUAUCGGAACGUGCCCAGUCGUGGGGGAUAACGUAGCGAAAGCUACGCUAAUACCGCAUACGAUCUAUGGAUGAAAGCGGGGGAUCGCAAGACCUCGCGCGAUUGGAGCGGCCGAUAUCAGAUUAGGUAGUUGGUGAGGUAAAGGCUCACCAAGCCGACGAUCUGUAGCUGGUCUGAGAGGACGAGCAGCCACACUGGGACUGAGACACGGCCCAGACUCCUACGGGAGGCAGCAGUGGGGAAUUUUGGACAAUGGGCGCAAGCCUGAUCCAGCAAUGCCGCGUGCAGGAUGAAGGCCUUCGGGUUGUAAACUGCUUUUGUACGGAACGAAACGGCGAGCUCUAAUACAGUUUGCUAAUGACGGUACCGUAAGAAUAAGCACCGGCUAACUACGUGCCAGCAGCCGCCGCAG
rnacentral:rRNA from 1 species